GACGAACGCUGGCGGCGUGCUUAACACAUGCAAGUCGAACGGAAAGGCCCUGCUUUUGUGGGGUGCUCGAGUGGCGAACGGGUGAGUAACACGUGAGUAACCUGCCUUUGACUUUGGGAUAACUUCAGGAAACUGGGGCUAAUACCGGAUAGGAGCUCCUGCUGCAUGGUGGGGGUUGGAAAGUUUCGGCGGUUGGGGAUGGACUCGCGGCUUAUCAGCUUGUUGGUGGGGUAGUGGCUUACCAAGGCUUUGACGGGUAGCCGGCCUGAGAGGGUGACCGGCCACAUUGGGACUGAGAUACGGCCCAGACUCCUACGGGAGGCAGCAGUGGGGAAUAUUGCACAAUGGGCGGAAGCCAGAUGCAGCAACGCCGCGUGCGGGAUGACGGCCUUCGGGUUGUAAACCGCUUUCGCCUGUGACGAAGCGUGAGUGACGGUAAUGGGUAAAGAAGCACCGGCUAACUACGUG
rnacentral:rRNA from 1 species